rnacentral:lncRNA from 1 species
CCUCUGACAAAUUAUUCUAGAGAAAAAAAUGAACAAUACAGCAUUUUGCAUGCUUCAUAGUCAACAAUUACAUUCUGCGGUAUUUAUUUUUGACACUGAAUAAAUAUUCCAGGAAGAAAUAACUCAAAAAGAACCUGUAACUAUAUCAACAUAAGCCUUUUACCCCUUGUCAGCAAAACUAAUAGGGUACACAGCCUAUUUAAAUGUAAAUUUAAAUAAAGCGUUUUUUUCUACCUCUCUGCUUUCUUUGUUCCUUGGGAUUCGGAGAUUACAGGAAUCCAUAUACUAUUCUCCAACACACACAUCCAAAGGUGUUUUGUUUUUUGUUGUGUUUUAUGAAAAACGAAAUCAAAGUGUUUUAGGAUUUAAAUGAUCUAUUUCCACAGUUAGAAUGGAAGAAAAGGCGCUCCGAAUAUCAGAAGAAAGGCGAAGCCUUUGGGGUCGGGGGACCAAGCCUGGACCCAUCCUUAGCCUCCGAGCCGUUACUAGGCAACCCCUAGCGUUCUCAACGGCCGCCGGGAGCCACUUCCCCGCCCUGAUUGCUAAGGAGAUCGACGCCCAACUCAGCCCUGCCGUAAACCCACGCGCUCUUGCGACAUUGCCGCGCCUGCCGCUGCGUGCGCGCCCUCUGCCCCCACUCUCCGCCCCGGCCGCCAUUGCCUCGUGCCCGCGCCGGUCGGUUGGUGGCGCCUUUGUCCUACGGCGGGCAGGGGGGGCGGGGUGGGGGGGAGGCGGAGACCAUCACCUCUUCCUUCUUACAUAUGAGUUUCUGGAAAUGACAGACCUUUUCC